CCUACGGGAGGCUGCAGUGGGGAAUAUUGCACAAUGGGCGAAAGCCUGAUGCAGCAACGCCGCGUGAGCGAUGAAGGCCUUCGGGUCGUAAAGCUCUGUCCUCAAGGAAGAUAAUGACGGUACUUGAGGACGAAGCCCCGGCAAACUACGUGCCAGCAGCGGCGGUCAUACGGAGGGGGCUAGCGUUAUCCGGAAUUACUGGGCGUAAGGGGUGCGGAGGUGGUUUCUUAAGUCAGAGGUGAAAGGCUACGGCUCAACCGGAGUAAGCCUUUGAAACUGGGGAACUUGAGUGCAGGAGAGGAAAGUGGAAUUCCUGGUGUAGCGGUGAAAUGCGUAGAUAUUAGGAAGAACACCAGUUGCGAAGGCAGCUCACUGGACUGUAACUGACACUGAGGCACGAAAGCGUGGGGAGCAAACAGGAUUAGAUACCCCAGUAGUC
rnacentral:rRNA from 1 species